UUUUUUAUCAAUAUGAACUCUCCAAAAAAAUUACGCUGUUAUCCCUACGGUAACUUAUUCUUUUGUUCACCUUUACUAGUGGAUCACUUUAUGAAUAAAACCUUAUAUUAUAAAAAAAUUUUUUUUCUAAUAAACUAACGGAGGAUCUUUAUUCUCCACGGUUGCCCCAACCUAAGUACUAAAUGCAUACUACCCCUAUUUUUUAGUAAAAUUACACUAACUAUUUUUAAUUAUUUAUUAGCAAUAAAAUAGCGUUAACAGAUUGCACCUUAUUUUACUAAAGCUCGAUAGGGUCUUCUCGUCCUACGACUAUAUUUCCGCUUCUUCACGAAAAUAUUAACUUCAGGAUUAUAAGAAAGAGACAGCUUAACUCCCGUCUUGCCAUUCAUACCAGCCCCCAUUUAAAAGGCAAAUGAUUAUGCUACCUUUGCACGGUCAAGAUACCGCGGCCGUUUAACUAAGUCACCGGGCAGGCAGGACUCUUUAUAUAUUAGACUCUUUACAAAGAGCGAUGUUUUUGGUAAACAGGCGAAGUUUUGAUUUGCCGAAUUCCUUUUCCUUAUUUUAUUAUUUAAUAUAUUACUUGUGUUAGUAGACAACCUAAAUAAACUAACUUCUCGAUUAUAAACUAUUACUCCAUCCAACAGUUAGGAUUGAUUAAUUCACAAAAAAUAUAAUUUUCCCUACUAAUUUCAACAUUAUGUCUUUCAAACUUAUGAAAUCUCCCUAUAAAUUUUUACAAUUUGGGGUUACUCUUUAUAAA
rnacentral:rRNA from 1 species